GCUUGUCUCAAAGAUUAAGCCAUGCAUGUCUCAGUAUAAACUUCUAUACGGUGAAACUGCGAAUGGCUCAUUAAAACAGUUAUAAUUUAUUUGAUGGUCGCUUACUACAUGGAUAACUGUGGUAAUUCUAGAGCUAAUACAUGCGCAAAUACCCAACUGCUUGUCGGACGGGUAGCAUUUAUUAGAUUGAAACCAAUGCAGUCUUCGGGCUGGUAUUGUGUUGAGUCAUAAUAACUGUGCGGAUCGCGUUUUACGCGAUAAAUCGAUUGAGUUUCUGCCCUAUCAGCUUUGGAUGGUAGGAUAUGGGCCUACCAUGGCAUUAACGGGUAACGGGGAAUUAGGGUUUGAUUCCGGAGAGGGAGCCUUAGAAACGGCUACCACAUCCAAGGAAGGCAGCAGG
rnacentral:rRNA from 1 species